GGCCCAGAUCGUUUACCGUGAAAAAAUUAGAGUGUUCAAAGCAGGCAGACCAUUUCUUCUGCCACCGAAUACAUUAGCAUGGGAUAAUGGAAUAGGACCCUGUCCUCCUAUUUUGCGUGUUGGUUUUCGAGGACCGGGUAAUGAUUAAUAGGGAUAGUUGGGGGCAUUAAUAUUUAAUUGUCAGAGGUGAAAUUCUUGGAUUUAUGAAAGAUUGACUUCUGCGAAAGCAUCUGCCAAGGAUGUUUUCAUUAAUCAAGAACGAAAGUUAGGGGAUCGAAGACGAUCAGAUACCGUCGUAGUCUUAACCAUAAACGAUGCCGACCAGCGAUUAGGAGACGUUGAAUACAAAACACCACCGUCGGGUCGGCCGUCCUUGGCCGUCGUGCGCGGCGACGCGCGCGGCGGCGAGGGCGGUGUCUGCCCGACGGCCCGGUGAAUGACUCCCCUAGCAGCUUGUGAGAA
rnacentral:rRNA from 1 species